rnacentral:lncRNA from 1 species
UUGAGAGAAACGAAGAGUCAGUUUUUGGGAAAAGGAAAAAGUAAAGUCUGAUGUUCUCGAUAGUUCCCCUAUAUAGAGUUACAGAGUAUAUACAAAUAUACUUACCUGGGUCGGACCGGGUCAGGUGAGUAUAUUAAAUUGGGCUCAGAAAAUGACUGGGCUCAUAUUCAACAUCACAGCCCACAUCAGCACCACAGACCAAUACAGCCAUCAGCCCAAUACAUCAUUGCCCUAUACUCCUAUACUAUAUACACUUUAUAUACAUCACAUAUACAAAAUAAAUUGUACAACUACUCAAAUGUCUAAGUAAUGUCAACACCCCCCCUCAAGUUGGAGGGGGACACCACCUUCAACUUGGACAGCAAAGGAUGAAGAGCAGUCCCAGUAAUGGGUGGGUUUGAUGCCACUGAAAAGUCUUCUACUAUUGUUUCUUCAAUGAGAGUGAUAUUUUAAAACAGUUAUAGAAAUAAUAGAAGAGGUUUUACAAAAUCAUACUUUGAACCAAUACUCACUGUGAAGUUAAUCACUUAUCCUCAGAACAAAAAAUUAUCAAAGUUGUUCACAAUCUCCAUAGGUAAGAACACAUAAAGGCAUCAAUCAGAUAUAGAAAAGGCAUAAAACCUAGAAGGAAGUGAAUUGAAAAUCCAAACAAAGAAAAAUAAACUUUAUAUGAUAUUACCUGCAGAUUCAAAUAGUCGAAGUUUAAUCGCACCAUGCUUUGGUCAUUUGAAGUAACUGUUCCGAAUCUUGAAAACAUUAGAGAGAGAACUGGCAAAUAGAAAACAACAGGAGACUCUCCUCAAAAAUAAAUGAACGGAGGAGAAAUUUCUUACACAGACCUUCUAACUCGUUAAAUGUGGUUUUAUAUGAUCAAUUAUCUGCAUACAGUCACCUAGAUUUCUGUAAAAUCCACUCUGCCCUCGAGAAAUGAUUUCUCCACCUACCAGAGAAUACAUUUGUCAAUUGUAUCAUCACUCAGUGCAAGCUCAGUUUUCAGCGGGU